rnacentral:rRNA from 1 species
AUGUUGCAGAGAAGACUUGCCAUGGCCGAUCGCAGCAUGACCCUGCAGCUAGCCUUUGCGGCCAUCCUUCUCCUCAUCCUGUGCGGCAGCACCUGUAGCUCGCUGCAGUUCGCGUACCAGAGCUUCGACGCGGCCAGCGAGGCCGACUUCAGCUUCACCCCGGGCGCCACCAUCUCCAACCGCUCCCUGCAGAUCACGCCCGACGCCGGCGACAUGGCCCACCGGUCGGGGAGGGUCAUGUACGCCAGGGAGACCCUCAAGCUCUGGAAAAACAGCGAGCGCACGGCGCUCACCUCGUUCAAGACGGAGUUCGUGCUCAACAUCGUCCCCAGGAACGGCACCGGGGAAGGCAUGGCCUUCGUCCUCACCAACAACCCGGCCCUGCCCAGCGACAGCAGCGGGCGGUGGCUCGGCCUGACCAACAACCGGACCGACGGCAAGGCGGCUAACCGGGUCGUCGCGCUCGAGUUCGACACGCGGAGGAGCUUUGAGGCCGACCUGGACGGCAACCACGUCGGGCUCGACCUCAACGGCGUGCGGUCCGUCGGGCAGAUGCCGCUCAGCAACUUCUCCAUCGUCCUCUCCAGCGGGGCCGACGUCGAUGUCACGUUCGAGUACGACGGCAAAAUGAUGAGCGUCCUCGUGGUGCAAAGGGGGCUCGCCUUCACCUACGCCUGGUACGCCGACCUGUCGCGGUAUCUCCUGGACGACAUCUCCGUGGGUUUCGCGGCUUCCACCGGCGAGUUAGCCCAGCUGAACCAGGUCAAGUCCUGGAACUUCACCACGGUCGACGAUGCGAUCGCCGGAGGUGACGGUGGGUAUCGGUUGAGGCGCCAGAAGAUAUUUCUCGCCGUGCUGGUCCCGCUCACCGUCGGCGUGCUGCUCAUGGCGUUGCUCGUGUGGAGAAGGCUGACGCGGCAGACGAGGCUGGCGUACCGCAACCUCGAGAAGAUGAUCGACGCCCAUGGCCCCGUCAGGUUUAAGCUCAGGGAGCUCAGGAACGCCACCGGCGACUUCAGCGACGGCCGUAAGCUCGGCCGAGGCGGCUCCGGCACCGUUUACCUCGGGUAUCUGAGGAGGAUGAGCAUGGAGGUGGCCGUGAAGCGGGUGUCCACGAACGUCAACUCCAACCGCGGCGAGAAGGAGUUCGUGGCGGAGGUGAACACCAUCAGCAAGCUGUCGCACCGGAACCUCGUGAAGCUGAUCGGCUGGUGCCACAAGAAGGGCGAGCUGCUGCUCGUCUACGAGUACUUCCCCAUGGGCAGCCUCGACAAGCUCCUCUACGCCAGAGAGAGGGCCGCGUCGUCGACGUCGUCCAUGUCGGCGUCGACGGACACCCCGGAGCUCACAUGGGAGCGGCGGUACAAGAUCAUCCGCGGCGUGGCGUCGGCGCUGGACUACCUGCACCACGGGAGCAGCCGGCGGAUCCUGCACAGGGACGUCAAGGCCAGCAACGUGAUGCUGGACGAGGAGUACAACGCGCGGCUGGGGGACUUCGGCCUCGCCCGCGUCAUCCAGCACGACGGCGCCACGCACCACUCCACGCAGGUGGUGGCCGGCACCCGCGGCUACAUGGCGUACGAGAGCUUCUUCACCGGCCGCGCCAGCCUCGACACGGACGUCUACGCGUUCGGGGUCUUCGUCAUGGAGGUGGUCAGCGGGAGGAGCCCCAGCAACGCCGUGCAGUACCAGUACAUCCACGACAGCGACCACCGUGGCGGUGGCGAGGAGGAGUACUGGAGAGGCGGGCGAGGGCGACACCCCCCGCCGAUGCACAUCGUGGACUGGAUGUGGAUGCUGUACGGCGAGGGGAAGGCGCUGCAGGCCGCCGACCCGUUGCUCAGCGGCGAGUUCGAGCAGGCGCAGGUGGACUGCGCGGUGAGGCUGGCGCUGGCGUGCUGCCACCCGAACCCGAGGGAGAGGCCGUCCAUGAGGACGGCCGUGCAGGUGCUGAUCGACGGAGCCCCGGCGCCGGAGCCCCCGCUGAACAAGCCUGCGUUUGUUUGGCCUCCGGGUGGCAAUCGGCAGGAGAUGGAGCUGCCGGACGUCGGGCUGCUGUUCACGGGGGACGCCGGGCAGCACAGUAGUUUCUGCUCCAUGAGCUGUUCCAUCUCAGGGAGGUGA